rnacentral:rRNA from 1 species
UACGUAGGGUGCGAGCGUUGUCCGGAAUUAUUGGGCGUAAAGGGCUCGUAGGCGGUCUGUUGCGUCGGGAGUGAAAACUCAGGGCUUAACCCUGAGCCUGCUUCCGAUACGGGCAGACUAGAGUGCGGUAGGGGAGACUGGAAUUCCUGGUGUAGCGGUGAAAUGCGCAGAUAUCAGGAGGAACACCGGUGGCGAAGGCGGGUCUCUGGGCCGUAACUGACGCUGAGGAGCGAAAGCGUGGGGAGCGAACAGG